UACGUAGGGUGCGAGCGUUGUCCGGAAUUAUUGGGCGUAAAGAGCUCGUAGGUGGUUUGUCGCGUUGUUCGUGAAAACUCACAGCUCAACUGUGGGCGUGCGGGCGAUACGGGCAGACUGGAGUACUGCAGGGGAGACUGGAAGUUCCUGGUGUAGCGGUGGAAUGCGCAGAUAUCAGGAGGAACACCGGUGGCGAAGGCGGGUCUCUGGGCAGUAACUGACGCUGAGGAGCGAAAGCGUGGGGAGCGA
rnacentral:rRNA from 1 species